UCUAGAGGGGGGAAGACAGACAACACUACAAAUAAACAAACAUCAAUACUAAGUGCUGGGAACUUGAAAAAAAUUCCAGAGCUACAAGAUUUGAGAUGCCAGUAACACUUCAUCAGUUUCACCAAUGGACUCUAGAAAGUAGCAGUUAGCAUCAAGUAAGUUGAAUAUUUCUAAUGGACUUCAAAAUACCAUUCCCAGGUCAUGUACUUUUCCCUUUUUGCAGAAGAAAUGAUGUAGUUAGUCUCCUGGGAUUUUAUGAGGCCAAUGUAUCAAGUACCAGAGAUCUGAAAAUCACAAGUGAGUACAUUCUAGCCUGGAAAUGGAAGGACAAUAUUUAAAGGGAGAUUGAGACGCUCAGAGUCUGGGCAAGAUGUGUUUACUGUUGCAGCUGGGACUGUCCCAAUUCAAGGAGACACACACCCCCACACACACAAAUAAAAUUGCUAUGUUCACCCUUUAAAAGUCGAACUUUGCCCUGGGUAAAUGAAGACAUAUAGUUAGUCUGCCUGUUACCAUUGCUUCAUGCUAACACUGCUUUGUGAUACCACUGUCUCAGGAUUUAGAUCCUAUCUUACAAGUUAACAUUCAUUUUGAAGCCCAGAGUGUCAGUUCUGUGACUGACGUGCCAGCAUUUCUACUGAACAAACUCCUGAUCCCGAAAUUAUAAGCUCUAAACAAGCAUAUCAUCUCCAAAUCUGAAUAGAGAUCUUGCCAAAUCCAAAACAACAGGAAGGAUUUUUUUUCCCCCCUUUCUUGGACAAGGUGCCUAGGAAGAACAAUAUUUCCCUUCUGCCAAUCUUUCAUCCAGGAGAAGCGUAGCUUUCCCUGAAGAAAAAUAGCAAACGCGUUCAAAGGCAGGAUUGCGUUCUAACUUUUAUUGUGUGGGUAGCCAAAGGCCACUGGGUUUCUAUUGUACAGAAACAAGAUGUUCUAGCAAUUGGAGACCACAUGUCAAGGUUGCUAAUUUAUUUCGGAAGUCCAGGAAUGUACAGUUGUAGCUCUCCUCCUGAUAAUAGCUGUUCCGAAGCAGUCCACCUCGGAGGCAAGUUUCCUUAUACCGCAGAGUUGUCGAAUGCUAAACGUCCACAGGAAAGGUGUUACGCUCACCAAUAAUUUAAAGGGCUGUGACAUGAAGAAAGGGUUAUGAUGUUUAACUUAUAAGGCAUCCAAAUGUCAUAGACCCAAGCAAGUUCCUAUUAGCAAUAACUCAGGUCCGGGGAAGGGAUUUGACAUUCAAAACUGAUGAGCACUAAAAUCCCUCGGGCCUGAUGGGCCCUACCCACGCUCAGGACACUGGGUAACCCGAGUGACCCGGGAAUCAAACCAUGAUAACCCUCUUCAAUUUAAAGAGCUGCUUCUCCUCAUCUGUCUGAGCUCUGACUCUGCGCAAUAAAUUUCCCGAAGAGCAUAAAGAGCCAUCUAGUGUAUAUCAAAUCAAUAUCAUUGUGGCUUGCAGCGAUAUCUGAGGGUACAGUUCACAAAAUAAACUAGGCCAGGGGCCGGAUUCCUGCCCUGGGCAAUCAAUCAGGCUCACUGGGUCAUAGAUUUUAGUGUAAAUUAACACAGCAGAAACAAUCAUGCUCCCCAGAUGAUGAUAUAAUACAGUAUUUGCUUUGCUUUUUUUUUUUUCUUUUCGGCCUCCAUUUCACUGCUCAUGCUCGGAGACCAAGCGGUAUGGAGCAAGAAAAAUAAAAAGCACUGAUUAGGAUGGAAGAUAACAUUGUAGACAAGAAAACAGAUCCUCUCCCGGCUAAUGUAGACAAAAUGGACGUUAAAAUAUGCAAAGAAUUUCAAAGGCUGAGAGCAGGGGGAUUGAUUCAAAUCUAAUUCUUUUUCUCUAAGACUAGGCUAUCAAGUGAUUAGUAAUAAUUAAACUUUUAUUUAGCUUGGUGAAUGAUAUGGAAGUUUCCACAAUUUUCCUUGGAACACCACUGGCCUUGUGCAGAGCACAUCUACAGACCCUGACAAGAUAGCCACCUCUCCACAAUUCUCAUCCUAAAAAUGAUAUUCAGAAUGGUGACCAACACAGUUUAAUAAUCAUUUCCUGAGGUGAGGCACAAAAGUAAAGGUUAUAACUUUUGUUCCUACCCUUUCCAUUUGAAAAACUGUGGCUGACAUCUUCUGUGGGAAUGAUCUAGCUUGAGCUUUAUUAACACCUCUGAUGUAGUAGUCCAAAGGAACUUUCUGUAGAGGAGGUCUUCAUGUAACAGGUUGAGAGGAACUAUGAUGGUGGUGGUUAUUUGAAAAUUAAGUUUAAAUAUUGAAGGAUAAAUUCUAAUAUGUAAAAUCCAUUAUUCUUUUUAUUUUCCACUGCAUUUCUAUCAAUGAAUAUUUCAAAAAGUGUUUCCAGGGAUUUACUGUCAUGGUUUAUUAUCUUAAAACGUAGUUUGCCUAUGGCCAAAAAUCAAAUCUAUUUGAAAAAAAAA